rnacentral:rRNA from 1 species
AAGGCGAAAAGAACCCCGGCGAGGGGAGUGAAAAAGAACCUGAAACCGUGUACGUACAAGCAGUGGGAGCACAGGUUUACCUGUGUGACUGCGUACCUUUUGUAUAAUGGGUCAGCGACUUAUAUUCUGUAGCAAGGUUAACCGUAUAGGGGAGCCGUAGGGAAACCGAGUCUUAACCGGGCGUUAAGUUGCAGGGUAUAGACCCGAAACCCGGUGAUCUAGCCAUGGGCAGGUUGAAGGUUGGGUAACACUAACUGGAGGACCGAACCGACUAAUGUUGAAAAAUUAGCGGAUGACCUGUGGCUGGGGGUGAAAGGCCAAUCAAACCGGGAGAUAGCUGGUUCUCCCCGAAAGCUAUUUAGGUAGCGCCUCGUGAAUUCAUCUCCGGGGGUAGAGCACUGUUUCGGCUAGGGGGCCAUCCCGGCUUACCAACCCGAUGCAAACUGCGAAUACCGGAGAAUGUUAUCACGGGAGACACACGGCGGGUGCUAACGUCCGUCGUGAAGAGGGAAACAACCCAGACCGCCAGCUAAGGUCCCAAAGUCAUGGUUAAGUGGGAAACGAUGUGGGAAGGCCCAGACAGCCAGGAUGUUGGCUUAGAAGCAGCCAUCAUUUAAAGAAAGCGUAAUAGCUCACUGGUCGAGUCGGCCUGCGCGGAAGAUGUAACGGGGCUAAACCAUGCACCGAAGCUGCGGCAGCGAACGUAUCACCCAAGACAACUUUACGGAGUUGACGAUUGACGGAGCGAAGCGACGUCAAAGCGUUCAUUAAAGUCGAGUUGGCUUAGGGAUACGUUCGUUGGGUAGGGGAGCGUUCUGUAAGCCUGUGAAGGUGUGUCGUGAGGCAUGCUGGAGGUAUCAGAAGUGCGAAUGCUGACAUAAGUAACGAUAAAGCGGGUGAAAAGCCCGCUCGCCGGAAGACCAAGGGUUCCUGUCCAACGUUAAUCGGGGCAGGGUGAGUCGACCCCUAAGGCGAGGCCGAAAGGCGUAGUCGAUGGGAAACGGGUUAAUAUUCCCGUACUUGGUGUUACUGCGAAGGGGGGACGGAGAAGGCUAUGUUGGCCGGGCGACGGUUGUCCCGGUUUAAGCGUGUAGGUGUGUGUUCCAGGUAAAUCCGGUUCACUUUAACACUGAGGCGUGACGACGAGGCACUACGGUGCUGAAGCAACAAAUGCCCUGCUUCCAGGAAAAGCCUCUAAGCAUCAGGUAACACGAAAUCGUACCCCAAACCGACACAGGUGGUCAGGUAGAGAAUACCAAGGCGCUUGAGAGAACUCGGGUGAAGGAACUAGGCAAAAUGGUGCCGUAACUUCGGGAGAAGGCACGCUGACACGUAGGUGAAGUGAUUUACUCAUGGAGCUGAAGUCAGUCGAAGAUACCAGCUGGCUGCAACUGUUUAUUAAAAACACAGCACUGUGCAAACACGAAAGUGGACGUAUACGGUGUGACGCCUGCCCGGUGCCGGAAGGUUAAUUGAUGGGGUCAGCGCAAGCGAAGCUCCUGAUCGAAGCCCCGGUAAACGGCGGCCGUAACUAUAACGGUCCUAAGGUAGCGAAAUUCCUUGUCGGGUAAGUUCCGACCUGCACGAAUGGCGUAAUGAUGGCCAGGCUGUCUCCACCCGAGACUCAGUGAAAUUGAACUCGCUGUGAAGAUGCAGUGUACCCGCGGCAAGACGGAAAGACCCCGUGAACCUUUACUAUAGCUUGACACUGAACAUUGAGCCUUGAUGUGUAGGAUAGGUGGGAGGCUUUGAAGUGUGGACGCCAGUCUGCAUGGAGCCGACCUUGAAAUACCACCCUUUAAUGUUUGAUGUUCUAACGUGGACCCGUAAUCCGGGUUGCGGACAGUGUCUGGUGGGUAGUUUGACUGGGGCGGUCUCCUCCUAAAGAGUAACGGAGGAGCACGAAGGUUGGCUAAUCCUGGUCGGACAUCAGGAGGUUAGUGCAAUGGCAUAAGCCAGCUUGACUGCGAGCGUGACGGCGCGAGCAGGUGCGAAAGCAGGUCAUAGUGAUCCGGUGGUUCUGAAUGGAAGGGCCAUCGCUCAACGGAUAAAAGGUACUCCGGGGAUAACAGGCUGAUACCGCCCAAGAGUUCAUAUCGACGGCGGUGUUUGGCACCUCGAUGUCGGCUCAUCACAUCCUGGGGCUGAAGUAGGUCCCAAGGGUAUGGCUGUUCGCCAUUUAAAGUGGUACGCGAGCUGGGUUUAGAACGUCGUGAGACAGUUCGGUCCCUAUCUGCCGUGGGCGCUGGAGAACUGAGGGGGGCUGCUCCUAGUACGAGAGGACCGGAGUGGACGCAUCACUGGUGUUCGGGUUGUCAUGCCAAUGGCACUGCCCGGUAGCUAAAUGCGGAAGAGAUAAGUGCUGAAAGCAUCUAAGCACGAAACUUGCCCCGAGAUGAGUUCUCCCUGAGACUUAGAGUCUCCUGAAGGAACGUUGAAGACGACGACGUUGAUAGGCCGGGUGUGUAAGCGCAGCGAUGCGUUGAGCUAACCGGUACUAAUGAACCGUGAGGCUUAACCUU